rnacentral:rRNA from 1 species
AUCAAACUUGAGAGUUUGAUCCUGGCUCAGAACGAACGCUGGCGGCAUGCCUAACACAUGCAAGUCGAACGAGACCUUCGGGUCUAGUGGCGCA